rnacentral:misc_RNA from 1 species
AGAACAGAAGAUUGAACGAAAGAGAGGUAGAGAGGGAGGAAGAGCUUAGAGAGAGGGGGAAGAAAAGAAUGAAAGGAUUAGAGUGCUUGACUUGAAUUUUCCGUUUAGACUAAAAGAUGUGCAACUCUGAUGGUUUUUGGGUUAAUUUGAGCUUUUUGGCCUAAGGAACUCAAAUGCAUAUAAAGUACAGUGAGGAACUAUAAUUCCUAGCAAAAUCAAAAUUCAGCUAUCCCACAUUCAACAAACCAAUUACACAUUUAAGUAACAAACCCAGAAAUUCAGCCCCCAAACAAGUUGGAGGAAUUCAAGGACA